UGCGUGUGUGCCUCACCUCCAUUGUUUUGUGACCAAGCCCACCUGAAAUCUAGGCGGCAAAUUAUUCAUGGUGAGAUCGUCCGAACCCAUCUACUUCUGGAUAAUUUUAUUUGUGAACUUGUCUGUAGUUUAUUUAGCUGGUCUUGUAUUAUUUUGUUUCUGAAUAGUAGAGUCUUCGGCUGAGGCCAUGCAUGGAGAAUGUGAUCUCCUGAUGCAUCUAUGAGCCAUGGGUCUGAUAGGUCUUCUGUUUUGCUUCUACACUUAUUAACGUGUGAUUAAUUUUAUAUUCUCUUUUCUGGCAAGCAGCUCAUCGGAUUAUAGAUUAUUAAUUAUGCAUGAAUCAAGUUAGUUAUUUUGCCUUUUGAGAUAUGUUUCAGGACAAGUGGAGCUAUCUUUACUAAGAUGAACAGUGCCUCUCACAUCCAUCAUUGCCUGUAUUUUGGAUUUUUUUUGUAGCCUUGAUGUUAAGUUUUUGUUUGGUAGGCAUAGCACCUAAUUUAUAAUGAAGUGCGUCCAUCAAGGGAACUGUUUGAUGUAUAUCAACCAUGACAGAAUCUAUCUUAACACUGCCCUGUUUUCUGUGAUUCUCAAAGGUUAUGCAAAUCUUCAUGGCUAUGAUAGAUUGUUCAAAGAACCAUUUGAACCUUGGAAGGGAUAUGUUCUACGUAUGUUUUUGCAGUCCGUGGAUGAACUAUUUUAAGACAUGUUGUUUACAUUCAGGUCAUAGACAUUGUUUUAUAAGAUAGAUAACUCAAAAGAUAGUUUGAACCUUGGAAGCGAUCUGUUCUUAUACAACUUUUAAGAAAAUAAGCAAAAUGCUAGAACUAGAUCAGGAAGUUUUCUGUCAACUGUGCCCUGGAGAUACAGUCGAAGCACGCCCGCCCCGUGUGCGUCUUUCACGACAUGCUUUGGUCCCGGGUUUCUUACUAUAUCAUAGCAUGUUUGCUGGACACAAGCAGAGACGGACAUGGUGCUAGCUGAUAGCACUUGCUAACUUAAGAAGUUUACACUACAUACCUUUUCUCUAAUUAAAAGAGAAUUUCUUACCAAAUAUUGAACCAAUUUUAGAUAUAUGUCUCUAAAGCAAUUACUCAAUUUUGUAGAGUAUACCUCCAUAAUUCUCCAUCUGAGAUACUAAAGUUUAUUGAUGAUGCUUGUUUUAGGAUAUGUGGUACAAACCAUCCUUGUGAGAAAUCCAACGGAUUCGAUGAGGACUGAGGAAGGAGCCGGAGGAGGUGGUGGGUUGAGGAAGGAGCUGGAGCAGAGGCGGCUUUGAGGCUGCCCCUACACGCACUAAGAGGCAGGAGGAAAAUAUGAGGCGCCGGCGAUCCGGACGUUGCAGUGUUUUCUUCGUCUCUCCUGGUAAGCCCUCGGCAGCACCUCCCAUACCCGCUCCAUCCGAAUUCAGCAGCGUACAGUGACAACGGUUGCCGACGUCCUCCUCAUCCAUGACGCUCCAAUUUGUUUGUUUGUUACAAUCCACAUCAUACACGGUUCUGCACUGUGGUGUGUGCGCCAAAGUUCAAAAUUGCAUAAGUGCUAGGACCAUCUGGAAAGAACAUAAAAUUUAUGUUUUCACUUUUCAGUCACACAAGUCUGCUCCCCAUUGUCGAUAGCUUCAAACUGAAUGUGGUGCAGGUGCGAGACCAGAAAUUCAGAGGAUGUGCAAGAUGAAACAUGGUGCAUGAGGCUUCAUGAGCAUAAUUGUAAGGAUUACAAACUUUCUUAGGAAAACCAAUACAACAGUGAUAAAUAUAAUUUCAUUUAUAGCUCAUGUUUUGAACUGUAUUUUAUAUGCAAUUUCGAUAUCAUGGUGGAACACAAAAUUUAAAUAGAAAAAAAUAAUACUGGCCAAUGUAUAUUUUUCAAGUUCAGAUAUAUAUACAUGCUUAACUAAAGUACGCACAG
rnacentral:lncRNA from 1 species